GCUCCAGGGGUGGCACAUUCUUCUUCACCAACUGUGUGUGGGUCUAAAGCCAUUGGGGACAGAGGUAACAUGGGUAAUAUGUGGACCCAGAUACACAUUUCAAUAUGUGACUGCGCAGAAGAUGUUGUAUACUGAAAGGAAGAAAAUGGGGACAAAACCAGGUAGUUCAGAGAUGCGGAAGAAAGGAGCUAAGAGAAAUUUUCUGAAGAUAAAGAAAGUUCUGGAGUUAGGAAAAACAAGGAUGAUACUUUGCAAAGCCAGAGAAAGGAGAAGAGAAACCUUAUGGACCAGAACUAGACAAAUUCUGGAAGAAGUGCUUUUCAAUAUCCCUUUGGAGCCAGGAAAUAAUGACUUGAACAAUGCUGAUGCGACACUGUGAGACUGUACAAGAUCUCUUACUCAUUGAAUCCCAGCUAACCACAGCAUGGCUUUAUCUUCAGUGUUCCUUGGAAUCAUAUCAAGGGCUUUUUUUUUUUUUGCUCCCUCUUUCUUUCUUUCAUCCCCCCCCUUUUUUUUUUAAACCUCG